rnacentral:rRNA from 1 species
ACGAGCUGCUACGGCAGCGAAGUGGGUGAUGUCAAGCUUCCAAGAAAAGCCCUAUACCCGUUAAGGCAUGAUGGCCUGUACCCGAAACCGACACAGGUGGGGUGGUAGAGAAUACCGAGGGGCGCGAGAUAACUCUCUCUAAGGAACUCGGCAAAAUGGCCCCGUAACUUCGGGAGAAGGGGUGCCACCGCAAGGUGGUCGCAGUGAAGAGGCCCAGGCGACUGUUUACCAAAAACACAGGUCUCCGCUAAGUCGCAAGACGAUGUAUGGGGGCUGACGCCUGCCCAGUGCCGGAAGGUUAAGGAAGCUGGUCAGCGUAAGCGAAGCUAGCGACUGAAGCCCCGGUGAACGGCGGCCGUAACUAUAACGGUCCUAAGGUAGCGAAAUUCCUUGUCGGGUAAGUUCCGACCCGCACGAAAGGCGUAACGAUCUGGGCGCUGUCUCGGAGAGAGGCUCGGCGAAAUAGAAUUGUCUGUGAAGAUGCGGACUACGUGCACCCGGACAGAAAGACCCUAUGAAGCUUUACUGUAGCUUGGUAUUGUGCUCGGGCUCGGAAUGCGCAGGAUAGGUGGGAGGCUAUGAACCAUUGCUUGUGGGUGAUGGUGAGCCACUGGUGAGAUACCACUCUUUCCGAGCUAGAGUUCUAACAGCCACCCGUUAUCCGGGGGCUGGACAGUAUCAGGUGGGCAGUUUGACUGGGGCGGUCGCCUCCUAAAAGGUAACGGAGGCGCGCAAAGGUUUGCUCAGGCUGGUUGGAAAUCAGCCGACGAGUGUAAAAGCAGAAGCAAGCUUGACUGUGAGACCUACAAGUCGAACAGGGAGGAAACUCGGCUUUAGUGAUCCGACGGUUCUGCGUGGAAGGGCCGUCGCUCAACGGAUAAAAGUUACUCUAGGAUAACAGGCUGAUCUCCCCCAAGAGUUCACAUCGACGGGGAGGUUUGGCACCUCGAUGUCGGCUCAUCGCAACCUGGGGCUGAAGUCGGUCCCAAGGGUUGGGCUGUUCGCCCAUUAAAGCGGUACGCGAGCUGGGUUCAGAACGUCGUGAGACAGUUCGGUCCAUAUCCGGUGCAUGCGCAGGAAUAUUGAGAGGAUUUCUCCCUAGUACGAGAGGACCGGGAGGAACGCACCUCUGGUGUACCAGUUAUCGUGCCAACGGUAAACGCUGGGUAGCCAUGUGCGGAGAGGAUAACCGCUGAAAGCAUCUAAGUGGGAAGCCCACCUCAAGAUGAGUAUUCCCAUGGGGUAACCCAGUAAGGUCACGGGAAGAACACCCGUUGAUAGGCUCUACGUGGAAGCGCAGUAAUGUGUGAAGCGGAGGAGUACUAAUAGACCGAGGGCUUGAC